rnacentral:rRNA from 1 species
AGCGAACGCUGGCGGCAGGCUUAACACAUGCAAGUCGAGCGGGCACUUCGGUGUCAGCGGCAGACGGGUGAGUAACACGUGGGAACGUACCCUUUGGUUCGGAAUAACGCUGGGAAACUAGCGCUAAUACCGGAUACGCCCUUUUGGGGAAAGGCUUGCUGCCGAAGGAUCGGCCCGCGUCUGAUUAGCUAGUUGGUGGGGUAAUGGCCUACCAAGGCGACGAUCAGUAGCCGGUCUGAGAGGAUGAUCAGCCACACUGGGACUGAGACACGGCCCAGACUCCUACGGGAGGCAGCAGUGGGGAAUAUUGGACAAUGGGCGCAAGCCUGAUCCAGCCAUGCCGCGUGAGUGAUGAAGGCCUUAGGGUUGUAAAGCUCUUUUGUCCGGGACGAUAAUGACGGUACCGGAAGAAUAAGCCCCGGCUAACUUCGUG